AGAGUUUGAUCAUGGCUCAGGAUGAACGCUAGCUACAGGCUUAACACAUGCAAGUCGAGGGGAAACGGACAUCGAAAGCUUGCUUUGUAUGGUCGUCGACCGGCGCACGGGUGAGUAACGACGUAUCCAACCUGCCCAUCACUUGGGGAUAACCUUGCGAAAGUAAGACUAAUACCCAAUGAUAUCUCUAGAAGACAUCUGAAAGAGAUUAAAGAUUUAUCGGUGAUGGAUGGGGAUGCGUCUGAUUAGCUUGUUGGCGGGGUAACGGCCCACCAAGGCAACGAUCAGUAGGGGUUCUGAGAGGAAGGUCCCCCACAUUGGAACUGAGACACGGUCCAAACUCCUACGGGAGGCAGCA
rnacentral:rRNA from 1 species